AGAGCAAGCUACCGAUGCGGUGGAUGGCCUAUGAGUCACUGUUCUACAGUGUGUAUACAACUCAGAGUGACGUCUGGUCGUUUGGCGUUUUACUGUGGGAGAUCAUGAGCAUGGGGCAUCUGCCAUACGAAGGGAUGAAGGGAAAACAGAUGAUGGACAUGAUCAAAGAUGGCGGCCGUCUGAAGAAGCCAUUGCACUGUCCUGAUGAAAUGUAAG